rnacentral:rRNA from 1 species
UGGGGAAUAUUGCACAAUGGGCGAAAGCCUGAUGCAGCGACGCCGCGUGAGUGAAGAAGUAUUUCGGUAUGUAAAGCUCUAUCAGCAGGGAAGAAAAUGACGGUACCUGACUAAGAAGCCCCGGCUAACUACGUGCCAGCAGCCGCGGUAAUACGUAGGGGGCAAGCGUUAUCCGGAUUUGCUGGGUGUAAAGGGAGCGUAGACGGCGAAGCAAGUCUGAAGUGAAAACCCAGGGCUCAACCCUGGGACUGCUUUGGAAACUGUUGUGCUAGAGUGUCGGAGAGGUAAGUGGAAUUCCUAGUGUAGCGGUGAAAUGCGGAGAUAUUAGGAGGAACACCAGUGGCGAAGGCGGCUUACUGGACGAUAACUGACGUUGAGGCUCGAAAGCGUGGGGAGCAAACAGG